rnacentral:sRNA from 1 species
UACGAUGUGUGUGUUGUGAGACUCUCGU